GGGGCUGUAAUGUUCCGAUCAUAACAAUGAUUUAGCAUCUCAGGAAUGCUAAUUACUUGAACUUAUUUGGGUGAGAUGGAAACACGUGCUCUCUAACUCCCUCCUCUGUUGAUUUGAUCAAAGUUUCGUUUCUCAAUAAAUAACAGCUGAGCCUGCUAUAUAAGGCUGCUGCUGCUGCUGCUGCACACACCACACCGUCUACGUGAAAAUGGGACUCUUGACCUACAUGGCCGUUGCUGCUGGAGCAGGCGGCGCAGUGAUCGCUGCUCCUAUUGUUCUGGGAGCCGUCGCAGGUAUGGCUGGUCUGUCAACAACUGCCAGUGCAGCUGUGGCUGGUGCUGGAGCAUCAGUAGCAGGACUUCUGGCUGCACUCAUCUGAGACCAAGCUGAAAGUCAUGAAGGAAUUAAAUCUUAGGAAGAAUAUAUUUAUUUUUGCCAAAUAGAAACAAAUUACGUUAAUGAAGUAGACAACUUCCUGAAGAGAACUUGUGUGCAUUUGAAUUGUGAGGGGGACUGAGAUAAUAUUUUGUUUUUUGUUUCUACAAAACACAUUUACAUUGUCAAGUAAUACAACUUUCAAAUAAGGAAAGAAUUAUUAAUAAAUAAAAUGCAUUUGAAAGGG